rnacentral:rRNA from 1 species
GUAGGGAAUAUUGGGCAAUGGAGGCAACUCUGACCCAGCCAUGCCGCGUGCAGGAUGACGGCCCUCUGGGUUGUAAACUGCUUUUAUACGGGAAGAAAAAAUACUACGUGUAGUAUACUGACGGUACCGUAAGAAUAAGGAUCGGCUAACUCCGUGCCAGCAGCCGCGGUAAUACGGAGGAUCCAAGCGUUGUCCGGAUUUAUUGGGUUUAAAGGGUGCGUAGGCGGAUCUUUAAGUCAGUGGUGAAAGCCUGCAGCUUAACUGUAGAAUUGCCAUUGAAACUGAAGAUCUUGAAUGUGGUUAAAGUAGGCGGAAGGUAUCAUGUAGCGGUGAAAUGCUUAGAUAUGAUACAGAACACCGAUAGCGAAGGCAGCUUGCUGAACCAUUAUUGACGCUGAGGCACGAAAGCGUGGGGAGCGAACAGGAUUAGAAACCCCGGUAGUCC